GACGAACGCUGGCGGCGUGCUUAACACAUGCAAGUCGAACGAGUGGCGAACGGGUGAGUAAUACGUGAGUAACCUGCCCUCUUUUUGGGAUAAGCCUUGGAAACGGGGUCUAAUACCGAAUAAAGGGGGAUGGGCUCGCGGCCUAUCAGCUUGUUGGUGGGGUGAUGGCCUACCAAGGCGGUGACGGGUAGCCGGCCUGAGAGGGUGACCGGCAACAUUGGGACUGAGAUACGGCCCAGACUCCUACGGGAGGCAGCAGUGGGGAAUAUUGGACAAUGGGCGAAAGCCUGAUCCAGCCAUACCGCGUGUGUGAAGAAGGUCUUCGGAUUGUAAAGCUCUGUUAAUCGGGACGCGGUACCGGAAUAGAAAGCCACGGCUAACUACGUGCCAGCCGCCGCGGUAAUUC
rnacentral:rRNA from 1 species